CCUCAGAUUCCGAAAACCCAAAAAGCCCUAACCUAUUACUCUCAUUAGGAAAAAUGAAAAUCCAGUGCUGGCGACGACUCCUACUUCACUCUCUGAAAACCCAAAACCUAAGGAUUGUCAACCUCUUUUGGGAAGUUCUGGAGCAAGACAAGAGUUGACAAGAUCGGGUCUUAAUCUAAGGCCUCUUCAACGGGAGGAGACCUUGAAACCCUUGAGUGGGUUGACGGAGUCUGACCAGUUUGUGAAGAUUGAUCAGACUGUUAGUAGACCUGUGUUGCUUGAUACGCAAGUCCUGAGAAAACUAAGCUCAAGCCAUCUCCAAAGAAGAAGAAUGAAAGGAAGGGUUGCAGAGAGAGGGAUUUCUAUUUAGUGGGAGGGUACCUUUUUGUGCAUCCAAAUUUUUGAGUACCGGAUUUCGGUUUUGCCUGGUUUGGCUGUCUUGGGCUGUGAAUAAACUGAGGGACACCAUUGUCCAUAUAAGCAAGAACUCUGGCAAGUUAGGUUUGAAAGAAGAGGAAAUGAUGAAGAGAGUGGACAGAAGUGUGAAUGAGAUUUUCUUCAGAGCUGCAACAGUGAUGGCAGUUGCAGUGCUGAGACUUGCAUGAGCGUCAAGAUUAAGCAGAAUGAAAUACUAAAUAUAUUGAAGAACCUUUUGAGGGAGAAGUGAGCACAAUUGUACAUGUAUGAGCUAAGCUGAGUGACAAUGGAACGGGUUCUACAUAAUAGUGACGAUGACAAUGGUGAGAACAAUGGCAUGUCACUGGCUGAUUGACGCCGCAGGGCUAGAGUGCUGUUGGGCCAGUCCAUCAGGAGACGAAAGCGCAGAGAACCUAAUGGAGGUCCAAGACAGAGUAGAAUGAUAUUUAGAAGGACAAGGCCCCUAUGGUACUUGGAAAUGAAAAGGCAGGGGCCGGGGAAAGUUUCACGGUUCUUUAGUUUUUAGGGAAAAAAGAUCGUAAAAAAAAAAAAGAUUAAAAAAAAAAAUGGAUUUGACAAUACUUUCCUCCUCUCUCUGAUUUUCAUGCAUUUGAUUCUCAUUUAUGUUGACAAAAAUAACUGGGAAAACUGAAGUUGGGAAAAAUGGUGUUCAUUUUUCCCUAUAUGUAAUUUUUAAUUUGUAAUUGCCUAGUUUCAUUUUCCAUGAAAAACCCUACAUGCAAAAUUUGCUAAAUGUAGACAUGUAAUUUCUUUAGUUCCA